rnacentral:rRNA from 1 species
UCUGGCUCAGAAUGAACGCUGGCGGCAUGGAUUAGGCAUGCAAGUCGAACGGGAUCCUCGGGGUCCAGUGGCGGAAGGGUGAGUAACACGUGAGCAACCGCCCCAAGGCCGGAACAAGCGCUGGAAACGGCGUCUGAAACCGGAUGAGGACCCGCACCGCAUGGUGUGGCGUCCAAAUAUUCAUACCCCUGGGGAUGGGCUCGCGGCCCAUUAGCUUGUCGGCGGGGCGACGGCCCACCGAGGCGACGACGGGUAGGUGGUCUGAGAGGAUGGUCACCCACACUGGGACUGAGACACUGCCCAGACUCCUGCGGGAGGCUGCAGUCGAGAAUCUUCCGCAAUGGGCGCAAAGCCUGACGGAGCGAUGCCGCGUGAGGGACGGAGGCCUUCGGGUCGUGAACCUCUGUCGCCCGGGACGAUGAUGACGGUACCGGGAAAGGAAGCCACGGCUAACCACGUGCCAGCCGCGGC